rnacentral:rRNA from 1 species
GUAGGGAAUCUUCGGCAAUGGACGAAAGUCUGACCGAGCAACGCCGCGUGAGUGAAGAAGGUUUUCGGAUCGUAAAACUCUGUUGUUAGAGAAGAAUGUUGAUUAGAGUGGAAAAUUAAUCAAGUGACGGUAUCUAACCAGAAAGGGACGGCUAACUACGUGCCAGCAGCCGCGGUAAUACGUAGGUCCCGAGCGUUGUCCGGAUUUAUUGGGCGUAAAGCGAGCGCAGGUGGUUUAAUAAGUCUGAUGUAAAAGGCAGUGGCUCAACCAUUGUGUGCAUUGGAAACUGUUAGACUUGAGUGCAGUAGAGGAGAGUGGAAUUCCAUGUGUAGCGGUGAAAUGCGUAGAUAUAUGGAGGAACACCGGUGGCGAAAGCGGCUCUCUGGACUGUCACUGACACUGAGGCUCGAAAGCGUGGGUAGCAAACAGGAUUAGAUACCCGAGUAGUCC